rnacentral:lncRNA from 1 species
CAGCGAGCCUGCUUCUGGGUCAGCCUCUGAGCCAGUGUGCUUUACUGUAAGCGUUAGAAACAUGACUUCUAACAUUACAGUUAAAGGAGGAAUGAUAUAUUUCAGUGAAGAAUCCCAGCUCAACGGGGCUCUUCUGAGAACUGCAGAAAACAGCUCUGGACUCCUCCCUCGGAGCACCCGCCCAGCUUCCCUCUCCUGGCGCAAAACCUUGAUGCAAGCGGCGUGUGCCACAGUCCCAGGGUCCUCUGGCUCGUUUGUAAAUCUGUCAGCUGAGGUAGUUUUUUGUUAGUUUGUUUGUAAAUAUGUUAAAAAUAGAUCCUACAAACAGAAAAACAGGACUUCAACUGACUUCUACGUUACCGUUAAAUUUCUUUUCCAAAUGCCUUUAUCUCCUUUUCAUUCUUUUUUAUGCUAUGAGUUAUUUGUUCUCUGAAACAAGGCACAUUGCUGUUUACCUUCGUAUUCGAGUCUUGAUAUAUUUUUCUAAAUAAUCUAACCUUAUGCUUUUCUCCUAUGAUAGUUCAAGUUCUAUUGCCCAAACUAUUUUUCUUUUCAUAGCUAAAUCAUUUGUUGUGAAAUUUCUCACUCUUGGACUCAGGCCUUCCUCAUCUUGCUUAACAUUUUUUGUCUACUGUCAUGAGUAAACAUGAAAUGUGAAAAAGGUUUUAAUAUUUUUAUUCAGAGAUCGCUUCCUCAGACAAAACCGUCUGCGUGCUAGUCAUUUUGAUAAGCGAGUGUCAUCGGCUUUUUCUUCUUUAAAUUUACAUUGAAUAAAAUCUCCAGGCUACCAACAAGUUCAGAACAAGUGCUGAACGUGGGGGACAGCGCGGCCACAGACACCCAGUGAGGGUGAGUCUUGUCUGGCAGAGAAGGGCGAGGCUGGGACGUGGCAGCCGGACUCAGCUUGACCACAAAUCUCUGCCCAGUGAAGGCCGCCAUGCCACUGAAUCCUGGGAAGAAAGCAACACAAACGCCUAAACUGGAAGGAGUAAAGGUGCCCUGCAAGAGUCUUGCUCUGUCGCCCAGGCUGGAGUGCAA